CGAGAAGGCGUCGCUCUCGUUCUCAAUCCUCUGCAACGGCACCCCCCCCCCGCUCUCUUUCCUCUUCGCCUCCGAUCUCUCGGGCUUCCUAGCGUCCGAUCUCGUCGAUCAUGUCUUCGGAGAAGGGUCAACCACUGCCCAAGUUUGGAGAGUGGGAUGUCAACAAUCCUGCCUCAGCUGAGGGGUUCACUGUUAUAUUCAACAAAGCUCGAGAUGAAAAGAAGACAGGUGCCAACUCCGGGGCAACAGCAACACCACCAAGAAAUGAUGCAGGUGGUUUCCAACAAGAUGAUACCUAUCAGCAUCCAAGAAAAAGUCGGAAGUGGUUUUGCUGCGGUUGAAUGCCUGCUGUUUGGAGCCAAUAGGUACUUGUUCAUCUUAGUUUGGGGUUGCAAGCAUAAAGAAUGUUUGUUUUAUUGGAACAGAUGCUGUUUAUGAAUAAUUAUCAUAUCUGGUUCGUGUGAAUCGGUAUUAUUUGUAGACAAAAAAAGAGGGCAGAUCGAUGGAAGAUGGUUUAUAUCUUGUUCAA